UACGUAGGGUGCAAGCGUUAAUCGGAAUUACUGGGCGUAAAGCGUGCGCAGGCGGUUUUUUAAGUCAGAUGUGAAAGCCCCGGGCUCAACCUGGGAAUUGCAUUUGAAACUGGGAAACUAGAGUGUGUGAGAGGGGGGUAGAAUUCCAAGUGUAGCGGUGAAAUGCGUAGAUAUUCGGAGGAACACCAGUGGCGAAGGCGGCUCACUGGUCCAUUACUGACGCUGAGGUGCGAAAGCGUGGGGAGCAAACAGG
rnacentral:rRNA from 1 species